UACGGAGGGUGCAAGCGUUAAUCGGAAUUACUGGGCGUAAAGCGCGCGUAGGCGGUUAGGUAAGUCGAUUGUGAAAUCCCCGGGCUCAACCUGGGAAUUGCAGUCGAGACUGUCUGACUAGAGUGUAGGAGAGGGUGGUGGAAUUCCCGGUGUAGCGGUGAAAUGCGUAGAUAUCGGGAGGAAUACCAGUGGCGAAGGCGUGACCUGGACGAAGAUUGACGCUGAGGUGCGAAAGCGCGGGGAGCAAACAGGG
rnacentral:rRNA from 1 species